rnacentral:rRNA from 1 species
AGGACGAACGCUGGCGGCGUGCUUAACACAUGCAAGUCGAGCGGAAAGGCCUUUCGGGGUACUCGAGCGGCGAACGGGUGAGUAACACGUGAGUAAUCUGCCCAUCGCUUCAGGAUAGCCAUCGGAAACGGUGAUUAAUACUGGAUAUGACAUUCCUUCGCAUGUUGGGGUGUGGAAAGUUUUUUCGGCGGUGGAUGUGCUCGCGGCCUAUCAGCUUGUUGGUGGGGUAAUGGCCUACCAAGGCUUUGACGGGUAGCCGGCCUGAGAGGGUGACCGGCCACACUGGGACUGAGACACGGCCCAGACUCCGUACGGGAGCAG